ensembl:lncRNA
CUCUGAUGUCCCCAAGGCUGUCCCAUUGCACUCUGAUGUCCCCAAGGCUGUCCCAUUGCACUCUGAUGUCCCCAAGGCUGUCCCAUUGCACUCUGAUUUCCCCAAGGCUGUCCCAUUGCACUCUGAUUUCCCCAAGGCUGUCCCAUUGCACUCUGAUUUCCCCAAGGCUGUCCCAUUGCACUCUGAUGUCCCCAAGGCUGUCCCAUUGCACUCUGAUUUCCCCAAGGCUGUCCCAUUGCACUCUGAUUUCCCCAAGGCUGUCCCAUUGAACUCUGAUUUCCCUAAGGCUGUCCCAUUGCACUCUGAUUUCCCUAAGGCUGUCCCAUUGCACUCUGAUUUCCCCAAGGCUGUCCCAUUGCACUCUGAUUUCCCUAAGGCUGUCCCAUUGCACUCUGAUGUCCCCAAGGCUGUCCCAUUGCACUCUGAUUUCCCCAAGGC